rnacentral:rRNA from 1 species
UACGUAAGUGACUAGCGUUGUCCGGAUUUACUGGGCGUAAAGAGCGCGCAGGCGGUCGUUCAAGUCGAGUGUGAAAGCCCCCGGCUCAACUGGGGAGGGUCAUUCGAUACUGAUCGACUCGAAGGCAGGAGAGGGAAGCGGAAUUCCCGGUGUAGUGGUGAAAUGCGUAGAUAUCGGGAGGAACACCAGUGGCGAAGGCGGCUUCCUGGCCUGUUCUUGACGCUGAGGCGCGAAAGCUAGGGGAGCAAACGGG